rnacentral:rRNA from 1 species
AUUGAACGCUGGCGGCAUGCCUUACACAUGCAAGUCGAACGGCAGCACGGGGCAACCUGGUGGCGAGUGGCGAACGGGUGGGUAAUGCAUCGGAACGUACCUUUCAGUGGGGGAUAACGUAGCGAAAGUUACGCUAAUACCGCAUAUUCUGUGAGCAGGAAAGCAGGGGAUCGCAAGACCUUGCGCUGAUUGAGCGGCCGAUGUCAGAUUAGCUAGUUGGUGAGGUAAAGGCUCACCAAGGCGACGAUCUGUAGCGGGUCUGAGAGGAUGAUCCGCCACACUGGAACUGAGACACGGUCCAGACUCCUACGGGAGGCAGCAGUGGGGAAUUUUGGACAAUGGGGGCAACCCUGAUCCAGCCAUGCCGCGUGAGUGAAGAAGGCCUUCGGGUCGUAAAGCUCUGUCAGAUGGGAAGAAAUGGAUGGGGGCUAAUACCCUGUGUGGAUGACGGUACCGGAAUAAGAAGCACCGGCUAACUACGUGCCAGCCGCCGCCGUAAAAC